rnacentral:rRNA from 1 species
AGUGAACGCUGGCGGUAGGCCUAACACAUGCAAGUCGAACGGCAGCACAGUAAGAGCUUGCUCUUACGGGUGGCGAGUGGCGGACGGGUGAGGAAUACAUCGGAAUCUACUUUUUCGUGGGGGAUAACGUAGGGAAACUUACGCUAAUACCGCAUACGACCUACGGGUGAAAGCAGGGGAUCUUCGGACCUUGCGCGAUUGAAUGAGCCGCUGUCGGAGUAGCUAGUUGGCGGGGUAAAGGCCCACCAAGGCGACGAUCCGUAGCUGGUCUGAGAGAAUGAUCAGCCACACUGGAACUGGGACACGGUCCAUACUCCUACGGGAGGCAGCAGUGGGGAAUAUUGGACAAUGGGCGCAAGCCUGAUCCAGCCAUACCGCGUGGGUGAAGAAGGCCUUCGGGUUGUAAAGCCCUUUUGUUGGGAAAGAAAAGCAGCAGGUUAAUACCCCGCUGUUCUGACGGUACCCAAAGAAUAAGCACCGGCUAACUUCGUG